rnacentral:tRNA from 1 species
GCAUUGGUGUUCAGUGGUAGAAUUCCUACCUUUUAUGCAGGUGACCUGGGUUCAGUCCUGGCCAACGCA